CGCGGGGGAGAGGACCAAGAGCUGAGACACGCCCCAGGCGCACCCCACAGUGCCCGGAACCGCGGGGCUCGGGGACCCGCGGGGGUCGGAGUCCGGGCCCACUCCCUGGCUGGCGGUGGACCUGGCUGACUCAUUUCGGUCCGGGGAGCUCACUUUGAGGGAAGUUGGGGUCCGCCUAGCCACUUAGGCCUGGACUCAGGGUUCUGCGGAAGUUAUACCCCUGACAAGGACUCGCUACAUUGCCCGGUCUGGUCUCGAACUCCUGCAGGCUCAAGGGAUCCUCCUGCCUCAGCCUCCUGAGUAGCUUGGACUAAAGACGCGUGUCACGGUUCCUGGCCAAUGAGUUUUUACUUCAUUUACUGUUUGAACACUGUUCUGGUCAAUCUACUUAUGGCACGAACUGGGUCCUGAUGGAGGAGAGGGGGAGAUACUGCAGAAGUAGUGAAUAUUGUUCUUGCCCUUUAGCAAAAAAGUUUAUCUGGGAAGCAAACAUAAUUACAUAAAAUGGACAAUA